AUUUAUCAAGAUUUUUUUUGGACUAAAUUCUUCAAAUUAAAGCAAACGUUAUAAGAGAAUUUUAACAUGAUAAAGAAAAUGUUAUAAGAGAAUGUUAACAUGAUAUAAGAAGUACAGUCAGGUGUGGUCUUAAGUAAGAAUUUUUAACUCUCCGAGACACUUUAUGACUUUGGAAUUUCAUUCCAAAAUACUUUCCACUUGUGACAACCUUUUUACUUGCUGAAUGACAUUUAUGUCUUCAGCUAAUAGAAAAAGAAAAAAAAAUCAAACCGGGUCCGAGCCUUCCAAUUUACUUUCCGUACCAAACCCUCCUUUUACCAAUUUCCAAACCCUAGUUUCUAAUUCAAAAUUCACAGCAUCUCUCAAACCACCCCACCCCUCUUACGGUGAUUCCUAAGAACCCUAAAUUCUAACAAAUCGUUCUUUACACUUUCUCCUUGCAGUUUCUCCUCUAAAACACCGACUAGUCUGAAUCAUCAACAAGAAACAAACCCUUCUCUUUCUGAAUUCUAAUUACCAAAUUUCCAAAUUGAUAAAAACUAAUCAAAGCUUCUUCGAUUCUCCUCUCCUCUGUUACUCACAGAGUUGCUUUGCUUUAGAGAGUUGAUGAGUUUGGGAUUCAAAGUGGGUGAGCUCGGGAUCCACCGUGGAUGAGCUCGAGAUAGCUGCGGUGUUGUUUUAGAGAGUGGAUGAGCUCGAGAUUCGCUAUGGAUGAGUUCAUGAUUUUCUGUGUGUGAGUUCGGGAUCCGCCAUGGGUGAACUCGGGAUAGCUGUGGUGGAGUUUCAGAGAGUGGAUGAGUUUCAAGGUUGUUAUCUCUGAUUUCCUUUGUCCAUGAAUCUUUGUCUACACAACCUUAACGACAGCUGUGGCGGCGAAGCUGUUUUCUCCUUCGUUGUCUUGUCAAUGGAUGACUUCAAGAGAUGUAGUAAUCAAAGGGUGGAGACGGGCAUGUGUGACGAAACGAAACAGAGUCUCCCCUGUCACCGCCAUGGUUGUGGAGCCUCUUAAUACUGCCAUUCAGAUUCAUCAAUGGUGGGAACACAACCCUAGUUCAUUACUGAUAAUGGCAGAGAGCGGGAGACUGGUAGUGGUUACUCGUUGGCUAGCUACUACACAUAUCAGUGGGUUUGUUUGUUAUUUCAGUUCCAGACUUUGGUCUCUAGUUAAAAGCUCCGUUAAAUCAAAGAUAGUGAGGUAGACCUUUGUUUUUAGCGAAGGAAAAUGAGUAAGGAGCUUAUGAAAGUUGCUGGAGAAGUUCUCUAUUUUUUCAUAAGGAAGAACUUCAACAUCACUGAUCGUGAAGAAACAAUCAUGUAAGCUCAUUCAGAAGAAAUUUUCAAUUUUUUUUAUGUAGGUUUUAGUUUAGUAGGCUAUGUUCACACAUUUUUUUGCAAAACCUUGUCCACAAUAUAUUUUAUACAUCUUGUCCACAAUAAUUUGAAGAGAUGUUUAACUAAGCCAUGUUUACACAUUUUUUCACAAAA